CGGACGGGUGAGUAAUGUCUGGGAAACUGCCUGAUGGAGGGGGAUAACUACUGGAAACGGUAGCUAAUACCGCAUAACGUCGCAAGACCAAAGAGGGGGACCUUCGGGCCUCUUGCCAUCAGAUGUGCCCAGAUGGGAUUAGCUAGUAGGUGGGGUAACGGCUCACCUAGGCGACAAUCCCUAGCUGGUCCGAGAGGAUGACCAGCUACACUGGAACUGAGACACGGUCCAGACUCCUACGGGAGGCAGCAUG
rnacentral:rRNA from 1 species